rnacentral:rRNA from 1 species
GGGUCAGUAGGUUGGUCGUGCCACCGGUACGUAGUGGUCUCACUGAUUCCUCCUUCCUGAAGAACCGUAACGCCAUUAAUUUGGUGUUGCGGGGAAACAGGUCUGUUACUUUGAAAAAAUUAGAGUGUUUAAAGCAAGCUAACGCUUGAAUACAUUAGCAUGGAAUAAUGAAAUAGGACGAUCGAUCCUAUUUUGUUGGUUUCUAGGAUUGACGUA